GCCUUCGUGGUGUAAUGGUCAAGCACACUCGGUUGGUAUUCGAGAGGUCUGAGGUUCGAGUCCCGGCAAGGUCA
rnacentral:tRNA from 1 species